AGGAGGAGACAAAAACUCAAUCUCCAUUCUGUAAACAGAGAGAAGGACGUACUGGUUUAAGCACAGCGCUGGUCUGCUGUACUACAUAUAAUCUCAGUAGAUGCAAGUAUGAAGAAAUGCUGACAAACACCUCAGAAAUGCUGACAAAUCAGUCUGGUCAUUGUUUGACAGGUUUGGCUAACAGGCUAACAGGUGUCCUUGUUGAGUGACCUGGUAGGAGCUGAGUGGAGCUCAGUAAAGUGGAGGAGGAGACAUGCUGUACGUUUCUGUCGCCAUUUCGAAGAAGCGCAGACAGUCAUCGGUUGGAGCUCAGAGCUGAUCUGCUGUACUGAACAUAGUUUCAGUUCAUAAAGAAUGAAAAGAUUGCUGACAAACUGCUGUUGGAAAUGCCUGCAAUUCCUUCUUCCACUAAAGAACUGGACACUGUCUGAUGGAUGUGGCUGACAGGCUGCUCUUGUUGUCUAAACUGAAGUGUGACGGAGCUGAGAGGAGCUCGAUGAAGAGCGGUCCAUAAAACCACAGAAUCUUUGCAUCACUCUGAACUCCAGUUAAUCCAGUAUGGAUGGUUACAGUGUUUCCCUCCAGCUCCUGCAGUCUGAUAACCUCUUCUCCAGCUGAGCACAACAGACCUGAAACAAUAGUGAGUUCAAAACACAGUGAAAAUGAAAUGAAUAAUCAGCUAUUAAACAAGAGCUGCAGUUACAUGAAGCUACUGGUUUUCUAAAAACACAGCAUCUGUUUGGCAUUCCAGGCAGCACGGUGGCGCAGUGGGUAGUGCUGUCGCCUCACAGCAAGAAAGGCCUGGGUUUGACUCCCAACCUUGUGACCGGGGUCCUUUCAGUAUGGAUUUUGCAUGUCCUCCCUCUCUGCGUGGGUUUCCUCCAGGUUCUCUAGUUUCCUCCCACAGUCCAAAGACAUGCAGUCACGCCAAUUGUACAUGCUAAAUUGCCCCUAGGUGUGAGUGUGGGUGUAACUGUAUAUGUCUGUCUGUCUGCCCUGUGAUGGACUGGUGACCUGUCCAGUGUGUGUCCUAUAUUUGUCUCAUAUAUUUUUGUUGUAGUCACUGAAACCCUUACUAUUUUAGCUGUUUUUGUAACUGAUUAGUUCUUCAGUGAGAUGUAUAGUCAUUUUAGUUGUAUCUUAGUUUAUCAUAGAACUAACCUGCUGUUCAUUGUUUUAUUUGCAGGUCAGUUAUCACUUACAUUUAAUUCUUGUGCAAAACUAAAUAUUAAUGAUUAUUUUACUGUCUAGUUCCUUAUUUUCAGCUAUUUGUUCUCUAUUUUGUGGUUUGGUUGUUGUCAUCAGUUUCGGGGGAAUCACCACAAAGAACACAGCAGAAAUAAGAAAAGCAGAAAUAAUCAGAGAACACCAGAAUAGAUCUUUUCAGCUUUUGAAAAAAGGGAAGGAAGGAUUUCGUGGGGGGUGGGGGGGUUAAGCCAACGCUUAUGCCAAGCCACACCUCAUGAGUGCUAAACUACAUCGUCUGCAUCAAAGGUUCAAAACUGUUUGAUAAUUGUAAAUAUUGAAAUAAAAGAGUUUUGAAAAAGUG